ACUCCUAAUUAGAUUAGGAUUGAGCGAAUUAACACUAUAAAGAGGAUAAUGGUGAAAAAGUAUAUUUGGCUUUCAACUCAUGAAGUGAGGCUGUCGCCCAUUGUAGAGAAGGGCUUUGCCUGCUAAAAAUUUGGCUCUGCCUAUUGAUGAAGGGCACUUAUCCAUUGCAAUAGAGAAAGGCUUUUGGCGUAUAGUUAAAGACACCCUUUGUAAUGUAGUAUUAUAAUAGUAAAUA
rnacentral:misc_RNA from 1 species